rnacentral:rRNA from 1 species
UACAGAGGUCCCGAGCGUUGUUCGGAUUCACUGGGCGUAAAGGGUGCGCAGGUGGGUUGGCAAGUUCGAUGUGAAAGCCCCGGGCUUAACCCGGGAAUGGCGUUGGAAACUGCUGAUCUGGAGGAUCGGAGGGGGGACUGGAAUUCUUGGUGUAGCAGUGAAAUGCGUAGAUAUCAAGAGGAACACCAGUGGCGAAGGCGAGUCCCUGGACGAUACCUGACACUGAGGCACGAAAGCCAAGGGAGCAAACAGG